rnacentral:rRNA from 1 species
AUUGAACGCUGGCGGCAUGCCUUACACAUGCAAGUCGAACGGCAGCGGGGGUGCUUGCACCUGCCGGCGAGUGGCGAACGGGUGAGUAAUGCAUCGGAACGUACCCAGUCGUGGGGGAUAACGCAGCGAAAGCUGUGCUAAUACCGCAUACGUCCUGAGGGAGAAAGCAGGGGAUCUUCGGACCUUGUGCGAUUGGAGCGGCCGAUGUCAGAUUAGCUAGUUGGUGAGGUAAAAGCUCACCAAGGCGACGAUCUGUAGCUGGUCUGAGAGGAUGAUCAGCCACACUGGAACUGAGACACGGUCCAGACUCCUACGGGAGGCAGCAGUGGGGAAUUUUGGACAAUGGGGGCAACCCUGAUCCAGCCAUGCCGCGUGAGUGAAGAAGGCCUUCGGGUUGUAAAGCUCUUUCGGCCGGGAAGAAAUCGUGCAGGCUAAUACCCUGUAUGGAUGACGGUACCGGAAUAAGAAGCACCGGCUAACUACGUGCCAGCAGCCGCGGUAAGAC